AGUGAACGCUGGCGGUAGGUCUAACACAUGCAAGUCGAACGGCAGCACAGUAAGAGCUUGCUCUUACGGGUGGCGAGUGGCGGACGGGUGAGGAAUACAUCGGAAUCUACUUUUUCGGGGGGGAUAACGUAGGGAAACUUACGCUAAUACCGCAUACGACCUACGGGUGAAAGCAGGGGAUCUUCGGACCUUGCGCGAUUGAAUGAGCCGAUGUCGGAUUAGCUAGUUGGCGGGGUAAAGGCCCACCAAGGCGACGAUCCGUAGCUGGUCUGAGAGGAUGAUCGGCCACACUGAACCUAGGACCCGGUCCAGACUCCUAGGGGAGGCACCGGUGGGGAAUAUUGGAAAAGGGGCGCAAGCCUGAUCAAGCCAUCCCGCGGGGGUGAAGAAGGCCUCCGGGUUGUAAAGCCCUUUUGUUGGGAAAGAAAAGCAGCAGGUUAAUACCCCGCUGUUCUGACGGUACCCAAAGAAUAAGCACCGGCUAACUUCGG
rnacentral:rRNA from 1 species